UCUGAGCCGAGGGUGCUGUCUCGACAAUAAAGUUUCUCUCAAGUCCUCCACUGGUUUAGAUUUUCGCCGAGAAGUAAAACAAUAUCGUUAAAAAUCCAUCUACUAAACCUAAAUGGAAUGAACUCUGCAGACGGCUAAAAACACUUAGGAAUGAAAUCUUGAGGGGCAGCAAAAUCCACGGUGCUAUCUACAAAUAAUUCAGAAUAAUACGAAGGGGCUGCACUCCGACUCUUCUUCACUGAGUUCAACAGUAAUGUGGAAUCCAAUCAAUGUUUCCAACCUUGUAAACAUGAAAUACGAAGAACGUGAGUUUGAUGUGCUACGUAAUUAUACCAAGUGAGGUAUUACGCCAUUAUUAAGCGCUAAAUUCGCACAUGGAUCGCACCACCAAUGAAAAUAAGUCUUUAAGACAGAAACGCAGGAAUAUAAAACAAACGAAAUGGUGCACAAAUAAUUCCUUUCAUGAACUAAUAUUUUUUCUCUGGGUUCUGAAGAAAAAAAAUACAAAGAUAAAACACUACUCACUACAUACCUUUUCCUUUGCUUACUAACCAUUCUUUUUAGCAGCCUGCAGGAACUAAGAAAAUUGCCAUGAAAUACUUAGGUUAAGGUCAUUAACGACGAUGUAGAUAUAAGGAUGCUUAUGAUGUUUAUUAUGUUUUGCUUUGAGGAUAUUUAUGAAAUGAAGCUAAUAUGCUGAUACUAUAAAGAUUUUAUGAAAUAAAUGAUUAGUGUCGUAUGAGCUGUAUAAUGAUGUACUAUUUCAUGAUGUUAUUUUACAAUGUGUAUGGAUAUACAAUAUUUCAAAAUUCGUUUGUUUAAUUCAUUGUGGAUACUGAUUAGGACUGAUUUUGAGGAAAGUGAUUAAGUAUAAUACACUUCUUACACUGUUAUUUUUUUCUGAUAAUCUGUACAUGAUAAUAUUUUUUUGUUCUUAUUUAUGCCAUUCACAUUUACAGUUUAAUAUCUAAUUGCACUUUACAGGUACAACAAUCCGUGUUAGUCAUGCUCAUCAUUGUAUGGUUUACUUUAAUGCACUAAUAUAAUACGCUUCUAAUAAAUAAGGCUUUUUGCAUGUCUAUGUUAUUUUGCCACUACUUUGGCUUAGCAAUGUGAUCACAAAUUUUCAUCUGUAUUAUUUUGUCUUGACUAAUGACACAUGAGUAUGGACGCUUACAGUUUAUAUUUUGCUGCUACAAUGUGCUCUUUUCGCUCCUCUAAUACUAUCCAUAUCUCAGUAGACAUGUUUACUCCCCAAUAACUUAUAAUUUAUGUGACAAAUAUUUAUCCAUGGAAGAGCAACUAUGCAUUGUAGACUUUAGCUUCUCACUGAUGUAUCUUAUCUUUAAGAUCUGCUAUGCAUGAUAUGCCUCAUGUUGCCAUUUAUUAUCUGUAAGUUCAAAAAUCUUAUUGAGUCUCCUUCAGGAAUCCACUGUAUACAUUUUUAUAAUUAUAUACUAGAUACUAUAUGAUGUAAUGCUUAAAUACUUCAGUACAGACUUUGAUCACAGACUGUCUCAUAGGCUGCUACCUUAGUUAUAAACAUUUUCCUUUAUUUCCAUGGUAAGUUAUUCAGUCUUGACAUAACUAGGAGUUUGCCAGCAUUUUGUACCAAGUACCAUUACUUAUAAAUGUAAUAUUAGCAAUUAAUUAUUUAUAACACAGGAGUUGUCUGUUUUCAUAAUGGCAUAGCUGUGACUUUGACAUAAGAUAUUUCAGACUGUCAGUUGCACCUUUUAGAUCCUACUUCCAAAUGUUAACCAUUCCACUAUAAUCCUGUCCAUCCACAUGGUCAUGGAAUAAUCAGAUUAUGCACACACCUGCACAAUGUGUGACAAUACCAAUAACAUGCUAUCAACGAGAUUCUUCAGUAAACCACGAGCUGCAAUGGUACAUGCCAUUGCAUCCAGAAUUGGACCUAAGAGACUUAAGUGUGUCAUGUGGUCAAGCUAUAAUGGAACAAUGGUUUGCCACAGACGUUGUACCAGAUGCUGUAGACAACAAUACACAACGUCAGUCGACCUUGUGUAAUGAACUUCGAGUAAAACGAGUUAUUAUAGUUACACUUCUGAUGAUGUGGUACAGCUACUGUUCAUCGACACUUACUGUGCAGAGUGCAUGAAAUCAGUCUCAUCUUGAACCAUGAGUGACUUCUAUCCUGAUUUCGUAAUUUUUCUAUUCUCUUUACUUUAUAUCCUUUUUAUCAUAUAUAUUUGCACUGACAUUUCAAAACAGGGUCAUAGCCUUGUGUUGUUUAUGAGCUAUAUGCCAGUCUACUUCCCACUGUGCAAUAUGUUCCAAAAAUUAUAGUGCAUAUGAGCACAGUUUGCAAUGAAUAAUGUGUAUAUUACCUUAUUUUUUCAAUACUAUGCACAUGAUAUAAUGCCACUAUUUUGCAUCUUCUAGGUAUAAUUUUUCAAUACUAAAAUAUUUUGUAAAUUGUAGACGGUAUUUUGACAA